rnacentral:rRNA from 1 species
UACGGAGGGGGCUAGCGUUGUUCGGAAUUACUGGGCGUAAAGCGUGCGCAGGCGGUUUUGUAAGUCUGUCGUGAAAUCCCCGGGCUCAACCUGGGAAUUGCGAUGGAGACUGCAAGGCUAGAAUCUGGCAGAGGGGGGGUAGAAUUCCACGUGUAGCAGUGAAAUGCGUAGAGAUGUGGAGGAACACCGGAUGGCGAAGGCAGCCCCCUGGGUCAAGAUUGACGCUCAUGCACGAA